ACUGCAUGCACAUCUGCAAGCUUUUGAAAGUUGUCACCCUUUAUAAAGCAUGACUCCGAAAAGGCAACAUUAUUCAUUCCUAUGUCCUUCCCACAAUUUUCUGCAAAACUUGAAAUCAAAGAAUUCUCCAUUGUCUCCUCUGAUGCAGCAACAUAUGGGAAUGCCAAGGAGAAAUUAGACCUUGUAAAAAAGACCUUGAGCAUGUUCACAAGAGCUCGGUCUGCAUUUUUGCUUGCGGAAAUAUCUGAGGACAGCAGCUCUCUACCAACAA
rnacentral:misc_RNA from 1 species